CCAGCGAGAGAACGUUGCCGCAGGCAACGGCCCGAAGGGCGAGGCGCUUUAGCGCCGAGUAAUCCUUCCCCCACCACCA
rnacentral:sRNA from 1 species